rnacentral:rRNA from 1 species
GUGGGGAAUAUUGCACAAUGGGCGCAAGCCUGAUGCAGCCAUGCCGCGUGUGUGAAGAAGGCCUUCGGGUUGUAAAGCACUUUCAGCGGGGAGGAAGGCGAUAAGGUUAAUAACCUUGUCGAUUGACGUUACCCGCAGAAGAAGCACCGGCUAACUCCGUGCCAGCAGCCGCGGUAAUACGGAGGGUGCAAGCGUUAAUCGGAAUUACUGGGCGUAAAGCGCACGCAGGCGGUCUGUCAAGUCGGAUGUGAAAUCCCCGGGCUCAACCUGGGAACUGCAUUCGAAACUGGCAGGCUAGAGUCUUGUAGAGGGGGGUAGAAUUCCAGGUGUAGCGGUGAAAUGCGUAGAGAUCUGGAGGAAUACCGGUGGCGAAGGCGGCCCCCUGGACAAAGACUGACGCUCAGGUGCGAAAGCGUGGGGAGCAAACAGGAUUAGAAACCCCUGUAGUCC